rnacentral:rRNA from 1 species
AAAUUGAAGAGUUUGAUCAUGGCUCAGAUUGAACGCUGGCGGCAGGCCUAACACAUGCAAGUCGAACGGUAGCACAGAGAGCUUGCUCUCGGGUGACGAGUGGCGGACGGGUGAGUAAUGUCUGGGAAACUGCCCGAUGGAGGGGGAUAACUACUGGAAACGGUAGCUAAUACCGCAUAAUGUCGCAAGACCAAAGAGGGGGACCUUCGGGCCUCUUGCCAUCGGAUGUGCCCAGAUGGGAUUAGCUUGUAGGUGGGGUAACGGCUCACCUAGGCGACGAUCCCUAGCUGGUCUGAGAGGAUGACCAGCCACACUGGAACUGAGACACGGUCCAGACUCCUACGGGAGGCAGCAGUGGGGAAUAUUGCACAAUGGGCGCAAGCCUGAUGCAGCCAUGCCGCGUGUAUGAAGAAGGCCUUCGGGUUGUAAAGUACUUUCAGCGAGGAGGAAGGUGUUG